CGGCCGUAUCACGUUGAAACACCGGUUCUCGUACAAUCAACGAAGUUAAGCAACGUCGAGCCUGGUCAAUACCUAGAUGCGUGAACGCUUCGGAAGAAUAUACCAGGUGCUGCAUG